rnacentral:rRNA from 1 species
UACAGAGGGGGCGAGCGUUGUUCGGAAUUACUGGGCGUAAAGGGCGCGUAGGCGGCCUGCUAAGUCAUACGUGAAAUCCCUCGGCUCAACCGGGGAACUGCGUGUGAUACUGGCGGGCUUGAAUUCGGGAGAGGGAUGCGGAAUUCCAGGUGUAGCGGUGAAAUGCGUAGAUAUCUGGAGGAACACCGGUGGCGAAGGCGGCAUCCUGGACCGAGAUUGACGCUGAUGCGCGAAAGCCAGGGGAGCAAACGGGG